GGCUGGGACACUGGACUCGUGUGUUCCACUGACGUGAACGGCAAAUACUGCAGAGAUUACGAAGUGCAGUUUCGCUGCCCUGUCAUCGGAACUUGCCCGACAUGCGCACGCUGGACGAACUGGCUGAACAGAGACAGUCCGAGUGUUACUGGAGAUUGGGAGCACGUCGGACCAACAGGACACAACCCGUGCAACAGCCACGAACCUAUUGACAUCCAGUGUCGUGAAAGAUCCACUGAGCGACCAUGGAACCAAACCGGGCAGGUUUUCAAAAAUAAAUGCACUCCUUCUGAGGGUCUCGUUUGCGUCAAUGCGGAUCAGGCCUUCGGGCAGGCUUGCAAGGACUACGAGGUUCGUUUCCUGUGCCCAUAGAAGAAUUAGUUCUGGAACGAACACUACUUGCACAUGGCUUCUUGUUUUUAUCGUUACAAGAAUAAUACCAAAAAUGCAAUAACCUGUAGAUGAAUUAAAGAAGCAGAACAAGCCUAAAAUCAUAUAAGUUUUGUGUUUUUAUUAGAUACAGCAAGACUGGUGACAUGAAAGUAUGGUAAAGAUGAAGCUACGGCUUUUGAAUUACCAAACAGAUUACUUAAAAACAUAUGCAAACAAAACAGAAGCUGAAAGUAAAACA